UGUCCCCUGAAAUCAGCGCUUGAAAGCAGUCGUGUGCAGUCACAGGUGAGGUUACUGCAUCCUUGCCAGGAACAACAAAAUGGGCAAACUCUCUGCUGCCGCUGACAGAUCUGGGAGAUGCUGGUGGUUAGAAGUGAUUAACAGGAGAAGUUCUGUUCUCUCUGUUGGCAUGAAAACGGCAUGAAGCAAGCAGAAGGAUGUGAAGAUGUGAAUAGGCUCCAGCACGAGUGGCUGCCUCUGCUCCAGUCCUGAAAGGCAUAAUUCUGAUGAUACGUAUUCUUGCUUUAGGUGCAAAACACUGGGCCAAAAUCAUUCCUGGCGCAUCUGCAUCAAAAGCAGGGACUUACUUGCUGCACUGCUGCUGAUUUUAGUGUUAUUCCAGAACGUUUGGCUUUAGUUUAAGAUGUCAGCCCUAAUCAAAACACACAGAUGUUCCCUGUUGAUUAUGCCUAAGGUUUCCUCCAAGAGUUUAUUUUAAAUAAUGUUUGCAAUUCCUGUUCAAAUCCUGUGUGAGCUCCAGUGAAGGUACCACACCACUGAUUCUCUUUACCUCCCCUUUCACCAAGGUAACGUGUUCUCUCUGGCUUUCUAAAAGUGCUGUCAUAUCUUGCACUCCGCCCGGGAAACGUGUCUUGCUGCUUUGCAUUCAGCCAGGUUUCUGUUCCUUGCUAUUAAACAGAUGUUUAAAACGUCAUAGAAGUCACCAGCCUGCCUUUUGCAUGGUUAAUUUAGGAUAUUUAUUUGCCUCCUGGUGAUGACCUGCUGCAAGACUAGAGAGGUGGGUAAGUGAGUGAAUUGCAUGAGACCCAAGGUCACUUCCUAGAUGGAAGGUCACAAGCACAGCAAGAGCAUUGACAGAGUAUUACUGGUGGCUGCUGCUGGAGAGCCCUGCUUGAAGGCUUGUCUGCAGUUCUCUUGAGUGAAGGGGAAGAUGCUGUUUAAGGCAGACUGUGCCUCAAGGACAGAGGUUUGUUCUGUGAAGAUUCACCAUGGCUAAGACGUCCAGGCACUGGCAUGUGUUGUGAUGCAUCAGACAGGGAACCUUGUCACAGAAGCCUUAUGGAACAGGAUAGGAGGAUAAAGAAGGUGGGAGAUUUGGGGAAAUCCCAGUGGUUCAGUGCAAUGAGAUGUAUUCUUCAUGAGACCUUGUAGCUCUCCAGGAGAUAACCAGAGUGCAGGGUCCUGGGACAGAGAGAUUGAUGGUUCAUUCCAGUCUUCCCCUUUAUUCCUGCUUGGUUGUCGUUUGUGUGUGAAGUCUGGUGACUAACUGAACUCACAAUACCUCCUGUUCCAGAUCAGGGAGUUCCCUUAUGCUAAUGCACUGCUUGAGUCACAAGUCAUAUUCUCUUUUUUUACUUUUGUGUUUCAGAGUACAAUUAUACA